GACGAACGCUGGCGGCGUGCUUAACACAUGCAAGUCGAACGGAAAGGCCUGCUUUCCCUUGUGGAUUGCGGGUACUCGAGUGGCGAACGGGCGAGUAACACGCGUGUCUUCUGCCCCCAACUUGGGUAUAAGCCUGGGAAACUGGGUCUAAUUCUCGAUAGGACUGCAGGGUGCUGCCUGUGGUGGAAAACGUUUUUCUAGUGGUUGGGGAUGAGCUCGCGGCCUAUCAGCUUGUUGGUGGGGUAAUGGCCUACCAAGGCGGCGACGGGUAGCCGGCCUGAGAGGGUGGACGGCCACAUUGGGACUGAGAUACGGCCCAGACGCCUACGGGAGGCAGCAGUGGGGAAUAUUGCACAAUGGGCGGAAGCCUGAUGCAGCGACGCCGCGUGGGGGAUGACGGGCUUCGGGUUGUAAACUCCUUGCGACCGCGAGGAAGCCACCUGGUUGGAAGGGUGGUGACGGUAGUGGUAGAAGAAGCACCGGCUAACUACGUG
rnacentral:rRNA from 1 species